UCCUGCUUAGCUCAGUUGGUUAGAGCAUCUGACUGUUAAUCAGAGGGUCGCUGGUUCAAGUCCAGCAGCAGGAGCAA
rnacentral:tRNA from 2 species